GUUAAGGUGGCAGAACCCGGUAUUGCAAAAGACCUAAGCCCUUUAAAUAGAGGUUCAAAUCCUCUCCUCAACU
rnacentral:tRNA from 1 species